rnacentral:lncRNA from 1 species
GACAUAUAUCGUGUGUUGAGAUAGUCCUAAUUAGUAUCUUUGCCAUUUGAUGUACAAGAAUCAUCUAUACAUCCAUUCAUUGUCCUAAAAGGUUUCUUCCAAAGAUUGACUUUCAGGACAUAUUUCCAACAAUCUCCCACUAGCACUAAAGUCAAUCACUUGUGUAUCUUAUAGAUACUAGUUGAGUGAGCUUAUGCUCGUAGGUUAACUUGGUUAUGUAUUAAUCCUUUUAAUUUAUAAAAGGGAUUUACUUAUCAAAUGUUUCUAAAACAUUUGAUGAUGUCUCUUUCUUGUGUUCAAAUACUUUGACGAGACCUUGAUUCCAUGGCUUGAGCUAUCGCCCCAUUACGUCGUAGUGUCCAACUAACGACCUUAUGGUUUGGAUUCAAUCAUUGGUUCUAUAAGAACCCCUUCUAUUCAAAACACCUUUUGAAGCAGUUUCUAAAACAAUAUAUCGCCAUAUAUUUCGUUUGUAUACUUUAUACAUACUUUGCUCCAACCUUGAGACCAUUGUAGUACAAUACUAACAAUACAUUCAUAUGAUUAGUACUUCAUCCAUUAUGAAGUUCCAUUUGUUAAAAUGGGUUAUUUUUCACUUUGGUUAAUAACCUAAGUGAAUGCACGCUUCCAGAGUCCCACUCUGAUGUUCCUUUCUUAAAGGCAAUAAUACUCUAUCAGUUGCUAUGGUUCUGAUCCUGGGCUAUAGUAAUAUCUUAAAGUGACAACCCCUGUGGCUUUUCACCUUUGGAUAUCAUCUCACAAGUUCAUACAUGUGUCCCUUUUGUGAUUUUAUGACACAUUCAUUAUAAGGGUUAUGAAAGUGAUUUUCUAUCAUAUAGGAAAACACCUUCUCAAAUCUUCAACAUUUGAGAUUUAAUUUCCCCAAAUAACAUCCUUGAGAUAGCCUUGCUAUAUCAAUAAGUCCAAUUUCAAGUCUAUACUUUAAAAUUGACCAUGUCACGUUUUGUCAUUUUUUCGAGUAACAUCUAUGUUUUAUCAAGUCUAUCAAAUAGACUUUAUUCAUAUCUUGUUGCUCAAAUUAUGACAUCACUCCCACUGGCCUUGUUGUAACUUAGCAUUCAUUAAAAAACUUAACACUUAUAUUUUCUUGAUUUGAAUGCAUAUUGCUUCCACUAACUUGUCUUGGAUCUAUUGACAAUCAUUGAGAUCCAUUAGCUUAUUGAUGAUGUCUUAACAAUUUUAAAACUAUCAACAACGCUAGCUAACACAAGUUAUUUAAAUGAACAUACACAAAAGAAUUCCUUCUCAAGUAAUUCCAUUUGAAAUGUGUGACUUGCUUUAUCAAGUCUAUUCAUUUAAAUCAUAUGGUGUCAUACACCAUACUCCAAGUUUUAGUCAUACUAAGACCUUUAAUGUAGUCAUAUAAGAAUUAUCCAAGUCUUUAGUGGAAGCAUGGCUCC